rnacentral:rRNA from 1 species
GAUGAACGCUGGCGGCGUGCCUAAUACAUGCAAGUAGAACGCUGAAGGAAGGAGCUUGCUCUUUCCGGAUGAGUUGCGAACGGGUGAGUAACGCGUAGGUAACCUGCCUGGUAGCGGGGGAUAACUAUUGGAAACGAUAGCUAAUACCGCAUAACAGUAGAUGUUGCAUGAUAUCUACUUAAAAGGUGCAAUUGCACCACUACCAGAUGGACCUGCGUUUUAUUAGCUAGUUGGUGAGGUAACGGCUCACCAAGGCGACGAUACAUAGCCGACCUGAGAGGGUGAUCGGCCACACUGGGACUGAGACACGGCCCAGACUCCUACGGGAGGCAGCAGUAGGGAAUCUUCGGCAAUGGACGGAAGUCUGACCGAGCAACGCCGCGUGAGUGAAGAAGGUUUUCGGAUCGUAAAGCUCUGUUGUAAGAGAAGAACGAGUGUGAGAGUGGAAAGUUCACACUGUGACGGUAUCUUACCAGAAAGGGACGGCUAACUACGUG